rnacentral:rRNA from 1 species
AGGACGAACGCUGGCGGCGUGCCUAACACAUGCAAGUGGAGCGACGAACCAGGCUUCGGCCUGGGGCAGAGCCGCGAACGGGUGAGUAACACGUGGGUAACCUGCCCUGAUGAUUGGGACAACCCGAGGAAACUCGGGCUAAUACCGAAUGUGCCCUCCGGCCUCAAGGCCGUUGGGGAAAGGAAGCUUCGGCCUCCGCAUCGGGAUGGGCCCGCGGCCCAUUAGCUUGUUGGUGAGGUAACGGCUCACCAAGGCAACGAUGGGUAGCUGGUCUGAGAGGACGAUCAGCCACACUGGGACUGAGACACGGCCCAGACUCCUACGGGAGGCAGCAGUGGGGAAUCUUGCGCAAUGGGCGAAAGCCUGACGCAGCGACGCCGCGUGAGGGAUGAGGGCCUUCGGGUUGUAAACCUCUUUCAGCAGGGACGAAGCGAAGUGACGGUACCUGCAGAAGAAGCACCGGCUAACGUACGUGCCAGCAGCCGAC